AGUGGAUCAUCUGGGGCACGUGAACACGAUUUAUCACGAGGGAAAAAGCGGAAGCUUAAACAGAAGAAGCUAAGCGGGUUAAAAAAACAUUGCCGCAGCGAGGACCUCCCGAAAGCAGCUGUCAUUAAGAGACUAAGACGUGUUUGGAGUGAGUCAGCGAUAUGCUCUAAACGUUUGACAAAAGACCGUGUGCCUUUACACUCUCAA